rnacentral:lncRNA from 1 species
UCGGGACUGCGGCACCUCACGGCCGACCGGGAUCUGGGUCUGCGCAGGCGACGAUGGGUGGUCCGAUGGGCUUCAGGACUUGAUGGCGUAACCCCCUUCUUACCCCACUGUCAGCUGCUCCAGCCAGACCGGGGCAGAGAAGAGAGGAGCAGACCGUCCCUGGCGGCCCACCUGACCUCCCAGCCUUUACCCCCAUUUCCUUCUACCAGACAGACAGACGGACUGGUUUCCCAGGUUGUCUGGGUGUCAGCGUCUGUCUGUCCAUCUGUGUGGUUCUCAGGUGGAAGGUAGGGCGUGAGAAGUGCUGGGAGGGAGGCGAGGGGGGCGGCUUUCCAGGGGUUGCCUUGCUGAAAUGUUCGGCCCUGGGGAUCUGGGUCUGGUGGGGAGCCCGUGGGCAGGAUGGGGCGUGGGCCGGGAGAAGCGGGGGCACGCGGGUAGGUUUGUCACUGCGUAGUUGGGGAAAGUGGGGACUGGUGACGCAGUCACUGUGGGAUCUUGUUAGGCGCUCUGGGGGGACAGGUAGUGGGGCUGCCGGGACCUAUAGGGCCAGCUGAGAGGGGUUAAGGAUGAGCUGAGAAGGGAAGCUAGCAUUUAGAGAUUAAAUGUCAUCCUUUUGGCGUUGGAAAGUUGUUUACCUUGCGCUCUCUGUGUCUCCAUGUUGGCACCCUUCCAGUUCACAUGUGAUGGCCUUCCUUGUACUGCUGCAUCAUUAACUAAGUGACUGAGCUGGCCUUCCAUUGGCCAGGGGAGGGCUCUCACGCCAGACACUUCCUCUGAUUGGUGGGCGGGCCAGUGGCAGGUGAAAACCUCUUUUUGAUUGGCUGAAGGCAGGGUAUCAAAUCUGAAUUUGCAUUUCACUUGCUUAAAGGGGAGGGGGAGAAGCCCAGCAGCCUUCUAAAAUCUGUUUAGGGGUGUGCGUAUGCUCCUGCGCGUAUGCUUUCUUCUGACUGACCAGUCGAAGCCUCUUCCUGUGCCUUUUUAAUUAUUUCAUGCGCUAUGAGGAAGAAGAGCCGAGAGCUCCCCAAACUUUUUUUUUUUUUUUUUGGUUGGGGCGAAGGUUGAGGAGAUGGGAGCGCAGGGGGAUGACCAAACUGGAAGGAAAUAUUCGUUCUUUAGUUUGGUGUCAGAAAAGGGAAUUUUCCAAUCAGCCACACCUCAGUGUUGCGGCAAAAUAAUUCUUGGCUCCCCUGGAAACGCAUGGGCAAGGUAGGGCAGAGCUGCUGCUGCCACCACCCUCGGCUUCCUGC